rnacentral:rRNA from 1 species
UACGAGGGGGGCGAGCGUUGUUCGGAAUUAUUGGGCGUAAAGGGCGCGUAGGGGGUUGGAUAAGUCUUGUGUGAAAUCUUCGGGCUCAACUCGAAGUCUGCACGAGAAACUAUCUGGCUUGAGUGUGGGAGAGGUGAGUGGAAUUCCUGGUGUAGCGGUGAAAUGCGUAGAUAUCAGGAGGAACACCUGUGGCGAAAGCGGCUCACUGGACCACAACUGACGCUGAGGCGCGAAAGCUAGGGGAGCAAACAGG